CAGAAAUGCUGGACUGACUGAGAGGCUGAAGAGAUGCAGGUCCAUCAUCUUCACCGCCACUUGCCUUCCUGUGUGCUUUUCUGUGGCGAUGCACACCACCCCUGUCGAGCCCUCCCCAAUCUUAACAAAGUUCUCCAGCAUCCAGCCACCAAAGUGCCGACGUGCGACAGAAGCAUUGGCACGCCGAGAGAAGCUCACUGGAGAACUCAGCCUACACAGAAACACACAGAGUGAUAGGAACAGGAAGUGGCUGUCCGCUGCAAAAAAAAAAAAAAACAACAGAAAUUGUAGAAAUUUGUAUUUGCCAUGUGCAAUUCGUCUUAGGACGGACAACAUUCUCAGGAACAGAAGGAGACGGAGGAGGUGAGGGGUUCCUCUUUUGAUAUGUCCAUCACUGAAAACAUCAAACAACCUGCUCGGAUGUUCCCUCUUUCUCCCUCAUCUGCUCCUGCCUGUGCAGCAUUCCUCUCCUCCUUCUCCUUCUUCUUCCUCCUCCACCACGGAUGAUGCCUAACGAUGCCAUACUCGCUCUUCAUCAGUGACGCUAACCUUCUUUUCUCCCUCCUCCCACUUUCACCCCGCUCUCCUCAUUAUGGAAUGAGGGUAACCAGGGCUCUGAGGGGGGAUAAAUUAUUGUGAGGGAAAAAAGAAGAAGAAUAAGAGAAACCA